UUGACAGUCAUGCCCUGGGAGGAGAGUUUGGGGACUGCAGAGAUGUGUAGCCUGCAGUUACUUCCUAGGAAGAGGGAGCAGUGAAGCUGGCAAACCCAAAGAGAGAGGGAGUGCCAGAUGGUAAGGAAAAGGCUCCAGGAAAGACAGUAAGGUCCAGGAGGGAACAGACCUUGACUUCUGGUGAGAGGGUCCCUGAGCCAGAAUCUGGAUUAGGUGGUGGGCCUGGGUUCCCCUGCUAGCUCCUGAGGAAGUAGUGUUCUGAGGCAGUGAGUGAAAAGAUUGCCUGGGACUGUGGAAGAAACCCUUUGGGACUGCGGAAGGGGAAAACAUGAAGAGUGACCUGGCUGGAAGGCUGAUUCACAAAGAGGUAGCUCCUGGAGUGAGAGAGAGGCUGCAGUAAGAGAGAAGGAUGGAGAAAUGGUGUGCAACUGUGGGAUGGGUUGUUGACCUUCUGAAGCUAAUCCCCAGAAUGGCCAGAAGGAGGCACCAUCCUAGCAAGGUGAAAGAGUUGCAACAGACCAGUUGUCCCCUAUCCUUGCAUGAAUCCUUGAGCAUAGCUGCUUAAAGAAGGAACUGUGAGGCAAUGGUAGCUAAUAUUUGUUACACUGGCCUCCUUCGAUUACAGUGCCUUUGGUAAGGAAGCUCAUGACAAGCCUGAACAGACUUUAAGAAAUCAUUAUAUGCAGACUUGAUUGGAUUCCUCUGAAUCUUGGAGAUUAGUGUUCUGAAACAAAAUUAAAAACAUGAUGGAAAGGCAAUCAUGAGGCUGGCAGAAAGGAAGAGACAACACAGACACAGGCCUUGCCUAUAUACAAAAGUUGCAUUCAUUUAACUAAAUCAAUUAAAAUUGACAGAAUUAAACUGGUGCAAACACAAUA